CCUACGGGUGGCUGCAGUGAGGAAUAUUGGUCAAUGGCCGAGAGUCUGAACCAGCCAAGUCGCGUGAGGGAAGACGGCCCUACGGGUUGUAAACCUCUUUUGUCGGGGAGUAAAGUGAUUCACGUGUGACUCAUUGAGUGUACCCGAAGAAUAAGCAUCGGCUAACUCCGUGCCAGCAGCCGCGGUAAUACGGAGGAUGCGAGUGUUAUCCGGUUUUAUUGGGUUUAAGGGGUGCGCAGGCGGAGGUUAAAGUACGCGGUAAAAUUGCGGGGCUAAACGCCGAACUGCCGUUGAAACUGCAAGCCUUGAGUGCGGGAGAGGUAGGCGGAAUGCGUGGUGUAGCGGUGAAAUGCUUAGAUAUCACGCAGAACUCCGAUUGCGAAGGCAGCAUACCGGAGCGCAACUGACGCUGAGGCACGAAAGCGUGGGUAUCGAACAGGAUUAGAUACCCUAGUAGUC
rnacentral:rRNA from 1 species